CCCGUAGCGCAGUUGGUUAGAGCAGCGGUCUCAUAAACCGCCGGUCGUGGGUUCAAGUCCCUCCGGGUCC
rnacentral:tRNA from 1 species